rnacentral:rRNA from 1 species
ACGAACGCUGGCGGCGUGCUUAACCCAUGCCAGUCGCACGGAAAGGCCCUGCUUUUGUGGGGUGCUCGAGUGGCGAACGGGUGAGUAACACGUGAGUAACCUGCCCUUGACUUUGGGAUAACUUCAGGAAACUGGGGCUAAUACCGGAUAGGAGCUCCUGCUGCAUGGUGGGGGUUGGAAAGUUUCGGCGGUUGGGGAUGGACUCGCGGCUUAUCAGCUUGUUGGUGGGGUAGUGGCUUACCAAGGCUUUGACGGGUAGCCGGCCUGAGAGGGUGACCGGCCACAUUGGGACUGAGAUACGGCCCAGACUCCUACGGGAGGCAGCAGUGGGGAAUAUUGCACAAUGGGCGGAAGCCUGAUGCAGCAACGCCGCGUGCGGGAUGACGGCCUUCGGGUUGUAAACCGCUUUCACCUGUGACGAAGCGUGAGUGACGGUAAUGGGUAAAGAAGCACCGGCUAACUACGUG